CAGUAGCCGCGGUAAUACGUAGGGUGCGAGCGUUAAUCGGAAUUACUGGGCGUAAAGCGUGCGCAGGCGGUCUUGUAAGACAGGCGUGAAAUCCCCGGGCUCAACCUGGGAAUGGCGCUUGUGACUGCAAAGCUAGAGUGCGGCAGAGGGGGAUGGAAUUCCGCGUGUAGCAGUGAAAUGCGUAGAUAUGCGGAGGAACACCGAUGGCGAAGGCAAUCCCCUGGGCCUGCACUGACGCUCAUGCACGAAAGCGUGGGGAGCAAACAGGAUUAGAUACCCCGGUAGUCCCUGUCUCUUAUAC
rnacentral:rRNA from 1 species